rnacentral:lncRNA from 10 species
UAGUAAGAGAAGUAAUCAAAGAAUCAGGGGCAAGUCAGUCUGAGAAUGAGAACGCAAGCUUCCCCUGGUAGGAAGCCUCCCUGGGCCUAUCCCUCCAGGCUGAGUGGACCUCCAGUAACCUGGGCGUUCAGCCCAUCAGGCCACCUACUGCCCUGUUCUAAGCCUGCUUCCCCGCUUACUGUAUCCCCACUAAGUUGGGAGCUCCUUGAAGGCAGGUAUUUUUAUACCCCAGUACCUAGAAGGUAUUUCAGGAAUUGUUUGUUGAGUUAAUAAAGAGAGAAAUUAAGGCAUAUAUAUUGAGAAAACCCAAAAUAUUUCAAAUUCUAUAUUCCUGUAAGGAUAUGGAAAAGAUUAAAAUUAGAAGGCAUUUACCUUUAUAGAGGUUCCAGAAGAGGAAGAGCUCACCCCUGCUGGCAGUCGUACUGCCAACAUGCCCGAACAAAUUGACACUUGGAUCCCAGAACACCCGAUCAAAACACAACACCACCUACCAUAAGAAAGAAGCACAUGAGCCAGUGACAGGGGCCAGAUAAUACUGGCUUCAACAGACUUCCUUAAAGUCUCUUCUAAUCUGCUUUCAAAAUAAGCCCAGCAAUCCUUAUUAUUUAGGAUGACAUUUACGAUCCCCUUUUUAUAGGCCUGAGUUUGUGAAAUGACCCCAUAAGACUAAGUCCAUAUGAACAGACACUUGAUGAUAGACUUAGGCACUGAAGAGAAUCAACUGACACGCCUCAGCCCUGAUGUCACAAUUGGGAGCAUAGCCAAAUGCCCAAAAAUGCAAGGCCACCUCCUCACCAAGUAAACAACGAAGACUGCUAUUUGUACAUCAGAUCUGUAGACAGGAGUGUCUAGGGCAAGCUACCUUGUUAAGGUUGCCAAAUCCCAUCCUUUGGACUGCAGAUGUUUUCCACUCAGGGAGAGGUGGCACAAACUGAACGGCUGGUGGCUGCUGCUUCAGCACACCCAGGGGAAGGGUACAGAGAACUGCGUCGCAUUUAUAAAUAAAGGUUUGACUCGUGGAGCGGGUAUUCACAGCUAUCACUUCACAUCCUGCAGAGGUUGGGUGGGAAAAGACUAGUGGUGAUGAAUAUGGCACUGAUAAGGACACUGAACAUUUAGUGUACAACAGAUGGACAUCCAUUUCUCAAUUCUCAUUUUUCUAUUUUCAUUACCUUCAUGUUUCACAUAAGAAAACUGAGGUAGAGGUGAAAUAACUCAUCUAAGGCUACACACGUAAUAAGUGCCAGGAUUCAAACCCUUGUAGUCAACUUCAGAAUCCUCAACUGUCAUCCCCACACUACCCUCCUGAUACACUGGUGAUCUAGACUAAUGAAAGGACCUUAUACCACUUACUCAAGUUAAGUACAUUUAGACCAAAAAUAAAGAAUAAAGUGCUCAUCCCAAUAGAACCAAUGUCUUCUGACUGUGGUUAGCUGCUCACUAUCGACCAACAGAAGAAUGCUACAAGAAGGCUGUGAUGCAGAUCUGGGGGAUGCAGCCUAAAACUGUGGAGCGUGCUAUGCUUGAGAAUGCACAGUGAUUCUCAGCUUGUCAGAGUAUGAAUGAGUUCAAAGCUGACCUCAGAGAGGGUACUGAAAUUAUGUUAACAUCGUUUUCCUCGUUUGUUUUUUAAUGAAUGUCUGUUUAUAUACUAUAUAUAUUUUGAAAUUAUAUAUCUCAAAAUAAAUAUGAAAGCUC